GACGAACGCUGGCGGCGUGCUUAACACAUGCAAGUCGAACGGAAAGGCCCUGCUUUUGUGGGGUGCUCGAGUGGCGAACGGGUGAGUAACACGUGAGUAACCUGCCCUUGACUUUGGGAUAACUUCAGGAAACUGGGGCUAAUACCGGAUAGGAGCUCCUGCUGCAUGGUGGGGGUUGGAAAGUUUCGGCGGUUGGGGAUGGACUCGCGGCCUAUCAGCUUGUUGGUGGGGUAGUGGCUUACCAAGGCUUUGACGGGUAGCCGGCCUGAGAGGGUGACCGGCCACAUUGGGACUGAGAUACGGCCCAGACUCCUACGGGGGGCAGCAGUGGGGAAUAUUGCACAAUGGGCGGAAGCCUGAUGCAGCAACGCCGCGUGCGGGAUGACGGCCUUCGGGUUGUAAACCGCUUUCGCCUGUGACGAAGCGUGAGUGACGGUAAUGGGUAAAGAAGCACCGGCUAACUACGUG
rnacentral:rRNA from 1 species